GAAAGCGAGUAUACUGGCGCACGGGUGAGUAAUAUGUAAGUAACCUACCCAUAGGACAGGGAUAACCUCGAGAAAUUGGGGCUAAUACCGGAUAAAGCAACGGCAUCGCAUGAUGCUGUUGUUAAAGUUGCUUCGGUAACACCUAUGGAUGGGCUUGCAUUCGAUUAGCUUGUUGGUGAGGUAAAGGCUCACCAAGGCUCUGAUCGAUAGCUGGUCUGAGAGGACGAUCAGUCACACUGGAACUGAGACACGGUCCAGACUCCUACGGGAGGCAGCAGUGAGGAAUAUUGGGCAAUGGGCGAAAGCCUGACCCAGCAACGCCGCGUGAAGGAUGAAAGUCGUAAGAUUGUAAACUUCUUUUUUGAGGGACGAACAUCCAGGCUUCGCAAGGGGCCUGGUUUGACUGUACCUCUAGAAUAAGCCCCGGCUAACUACGUGCCAGCAGCCGCGGUAAUACGUAGGGGGCAAGCGUUGUCCGGAUUUACUGGGUAUAAAGGGCGCGCAGGCGGGUUUGUAAGUCAGAGGUGAAAUCCUACAGCUCAACUGUAGAACUGCCUUUGAUACUGCAAGCCUUGAGUUCGGAAGAGAGAGAUGGAAUUCCAGGUGUAGUGGUGAAAUACGUAGAUAUCUGG
rnacentral:rRNA from 1 species